rnacentral:lncRNA from 1 species
ACACUCUUUGGACACAAACACUCAUGCUGCUCAUCUCUUGCUCAUGUGGAACUCAUGAGCUCUGCUUUCAAACCAACAUAAGUGUGACACGUGUUGCCAGAGAGAGAACCUAAAAUCUACCACUGAUACUGACAAAC